CAGGUCUUGACAUCCUCUGACAACUCUAGAGAUAGAGCGUUCCCCUUCGGGGGACAGAGUGACAGGUGGUGCAUGGUUGUCGUCAGCUCGUGUCGUGAGAUGUUGGGUUAAGUCCCGCAACGAGCGCAACCCUUGAUCUUAGUUGCCAGCAUUCAGUUGGGCACUCUAAGGUGACUGCCGGUGACAAACCGGAGGAAGGUGGGGAUGACGUCAAAUCAUCAUGCCCCUUAUGACCUGGGCUGCACACGUGCUACAAUGGACGGUACAAAGAGUCGCGAGACCGCGAGGUGGAGCUAAUCUCAUAAAACCGUUCUCAGUUCGGAUUGUAGGCUGCAACUCGCCUACAUGAAGCCGGAAUCGCUAGUAAUCGCGGAUCAGCAUGCCGCGGUGAAUACGUUCCC
rnacentral:rRNA from 1 species